CGGGAGGCGAGUUGCAGAGCCUGGCACCGGCGGUAUGCACAGAGAUCACACACUGCACACUCACAGCGGCACAUCACGCACUCACACGGCACGCAUAUAUAACUUCCCAGCACACACACACACACACACACACACACACACACACACCUUCCCAGCGCGCGCGCGCACACACACACACACACACACACACACACACACACACACACACACACACACACACACACACACGCAUGUACACCUUCCCAGCACACUCACAGCACGCAUAUACACCUUCCCAGCACACUCACAGCACGCAUAUACACCUUCCUAUCACACUCACAGCACGCAUAUACACCUUCCCAGCACACUCACACUCACAGCACGCAUAUACACCUUCCUAUCACACUCACAGCACGCAUAUACCGCUUGAUCCCUGCGCUGCACACCGCAUGCUCCUCACUACGCUUUCCUCAAGCUGAGAUGGGGGAACGCACACUAACUGGAGUCCGCACUCAUCGGGUGAGAGCUGGCCGUGCACCCACUGUGAUCUGUAUUACCGGAUAGUAAUACAUAUUUAUUAACCCCACUUCCCCUGCUUGGUAUUGGGAUGCUGCAGAGGCGGGAUGCAGACAGAGAUAUUCCUGGCAAUUUGCGUUUCCAUAUCACCUCUCCCUGUAAGGUCAGCUUGUCUGUUUCAAGUUUGCCUGAGAAGUGUGUAAGCCGAAAUCCCUUGAUUUCCACACCGCUAACACUGUUAUCUACAGAAUAUCUGAUGGCAGUUAUGUCUGCUGUGACAUUUACCUCACAUAUGGGAGGGGUUGUAUGGUUAUGUCUUAAUAUCAGAGAACUGUAAAUAUCCCUGCAAGUACAAAGCAGUAAACAUUAUGCACUAA